AAAAAUUAAUAAUAAUUUAAAAAAAUAAACUGAUACUCUUAAUGGACUUGUGGAUGGCAACUCAUUUCAGAGUAGGAUGAUUUGAACCAGGUGAGUGGAAAAGGAUAGUAAUACAAAUUUUUUAAAGUUGGGGGCAUAUGAAGACCUUAGGGUAUAAAUAAGCUAAGACCAGCUUCCUACAUUGCUCAGGCCUGUGUCCUUGAGUCCCUUGGUGGCAGCCCCUUUCCUUCUCUGUGCUGUAGCAGAGUGUCCACCUUCCCCUGCCUGGACUGGUCCUGGACCAGUGGAGGUCCUCACGACCUCCCUGGGUAGCAGCUUUCCUUCCGCUGUGCAGAACAGUUCCCGUGCUGGGUCAGCAUGGCUCCCAAAUCUCCGAAAGGCCGGUCAGAGUGCACGUGGGAGCAUUUGUCUUGAUGGCCUCGGAGAUCAUUCUGGCACCAGAUUCCCCAAUGUGAUUUCCCUGGAGACUGGAAGAGAGGGGUUAGGGCAGGGCUCGGAGCCUGCAGGUUCUCCCUAGCAGAGUGGGCCAGCACUGUGGAAAGGGCAGAACUCUGCUCCCAGGACCGCUCCCACGGACAAGGCUCAUGGUGGCUCCCUCUUAGACUGGGUUUCCCUGAAGAGCUGCUGAGGGGCCUGGGCUCAGCUGGCUCCUGGAAUUGGGCAAAAGGCAGGGCCUGACCUGGGAGCAGUUCUGAGGGUGAGCAGGAAGGGCAGAAGCUGCCAAGCCGCACUCACUUGAUGUGCUGGAGCUGGUGGUUUCCAGACAGUGCAGUGGCGAUGCAUAUUGCCCCGUCCAUCCCCAAGGAAUUCUCUUGAAGACUAGUCAGAGAGAAGAUGGAGACACCCGAGGAAGCAACACUGCAUCAUCUUGUGGGAGCAGCAAAGAGGACCAGCAGUUCUGGGGCUGGUUUGUCCAUAGGCGCCAUGGCAACCGCUAGGUGGCAGUUGACCCUUGAGACUGGCGUCUACAGGUAGCCAGGUUGCCCCACCCAAAUGCCAUGGAGGAUGUAAGACUGUAAAUGCAGAUGUUAUGUGACUGACUUCUGACUUAGGCAGAAGAAACAACCUAACUGCAAUGGGAUGUGGAUUAUAAUGAUCAGACUAGUGGGAAUGAUUUAUUAUAUAUUCAGAAGGAAGUAGCUACAGAGGAGAUGAGAGGGACGUUUUAUCCCCUGGAAGACCCAGCAGAGAAUUUUGCUGCCCUGGGACGCCAGUUGGUCUCUACAACCACUUACUUGAGUCUUCGGAGACUUGAAUUUAUCUUCAGAGCACUGGCCAGGGCUUUGGCUCCGGCCACCCCGAUGGCGUUUCCUCUCAAGCUGUCAGGAAAAACAGGAAACCUAAGGGAAGUCAAACACACCUCCCUUGACUUGCAAACAAAACCACGUUUAGCAUGAGAAGAUGGUGAAGGGGCCGGCUUCCUGGGCUGCCGUGCACAAGCACUUACUAGAGAGCAGUGAGGGCUGUGUUUGCCUUCAGCGCACUGGCCACCGCGGACGCUCCCUCAUCCCCAAUGGCAUUCUCCUGUAAACUGGACACAGAGCAUGACCCUUUCAGGCGCCGGGCACCCAGGACAGGGACAUUCACGUUCUGGAAAGGUCUCUGGCCACCAGUGUGAGAGAGGACGGACUGGUGUGGAGGCUGCUACAGGAUGCAAGUGUAUCUACCCAAGAGAAAUGAAAGCUCGCGUCCACACAGACAUUUGUGCACUAAUGUUCGCAGCCGUGUCAGUCCUGGCAGCCGAAAAGUAUCCAUUGACUGAUGAAUGGAUGAGUAAAACGUGUAUCCACACCGUGGAAAUGUGUCAGCCAUAUAAAAAAGUACUGAUACAGGCUACAACGUGGAUGAACCUUGAAAACAUUAUUCUAAGUGAAAGACCCCAGUCACAAAAGAACACAUG